CGUAUUGUCCGCGCCUCAGGUGCCUACAGGUGGAAACGCCCGGGUAGGUUAAAAGGGAAGUCUGGAUGAACCAGCGCUGCCCCCGCAACGGUAAGUGCAUGUCGUAUGCAAAGCCCGAUACCUGCCUGAUAACUAAAACCCGA
rnacentral:ncRNA from 2 species